rnacentral:rRNA from 1 species
UACGUAGGGUGCAAGCGUUGUCCGGAAUUAUUGGGCGUAAAGGGCUCGUAGGCGGUCUGUCGCGUCUGCUGUGAAAAUCCAGGGCUCAACCCUGGACCUGCAGUGGGUACGGGCAGACUAGAGUGCGGUAGGGGAGAUCGGAAUUCCUGGUGUAGCGGUGAAAUGCGCAGAUAUCAGGAGGAACACCGGUGGCGAAGGCGGAUCUCUGGGCCGUAACUGACGCUGAGGAGCGAAAGCAUGGGGAGCGAACAGG